GACGAACCGAGCGAACGUUGUUCGGAAUCACUGGGCUUAAAGGGCGCGUAGGCGGGUCAUCAAGUCUGGGGUGAAAUCUUUCGGCUCAACCGGAAAAGUGCCUUGGAUACUGGUGAUCUCGAGGGAGGUAGGGGCAGCUGGAACUUCCGGUGGAGCGGUGAAAUGCGUUGAUAUCGGAAGGAACUCUGGUGGCGAAGGCGAGCUGCUGGACCUCUUCUGACGCUGAGGCGCGAAAGCCAGGGGAGCAAACGGG
rnacentral:rRNA from 1 species